GCCUUUCUGGCCGCAGGCUCCUCGGCCGCGGGCGCUUCGUGGGCUCCCAGUCGUCGGCCCGGCCGCCGAGCGCAGGAUGCAGUGCCCCGGCGCCCAGUACCUGGUUUCCGCAGAGAGAGCCCCCCAGAAAAGAGAGUGGAGACCUCAGAUUUACAGGAAGUGCACAGAUACGACAUGGUUAUUGCUGUUCUUUCUCUUUUGGACUGGUUUGCUGUUCAUUAUGGGCUACUCGGUGGUGGCAGGAGCUACGGGAAGACUCCUCUUCGGCUACGACAGCUUUGGCAACGUGUGCGGCAAGAAGAACUCCCCGGUAGAAGGGGCUCCUCUUUCAGGGCAGGACAUGACCCUGAAAAAACAUGUAUUCUUUAUGAAUUCCUGCAAUCUGGAAGUCAAGGACGUCAGGCUCAGUUCCACUGUCCUGUGCGUGUCCCACUGUCCUGAAGAGCAGCUUGAUACCCUGGAAGAGGUCCAGCUCUUUGCAGACAACAAUGGGUCCUUCCUGUGUAUUUACAGUUUGAAUUCCAUCAACUACACCCAGAAUCCCAAUGCAGACUCAUUGUGUCCCAGGCUUCCAGUUCCUCCGAGCAAGUCUUUCCCCUUGUUUAACAGAUGCAUCCCUCAAACACCUGAGUGCUAUUCCUCGUUUGCAUCUGUGUUGAUAAAUGAUGUUGACACCCUCCGUCAAAUUCUAAGUGGAAUAAUGUCCGGAAGAGACACGAUCCUUGGUCUGUGUAUCCUCGCAUUAGCCUUGUCUUUAGCCAUGAUGUUCACCUUCCGGUUCAUCACCACUCUUCUGGUUCACAUUUUCAUUGCACUGAUUAUUUCGGGACUGCUGUUUGUCUGUGGUGUCUUAUGGUGGCUGUACUACGACUAUACCCAUGACCUCAGCAUAGAAUUGGACACAGAAAAGGAAAAUAUGAAGUGUUUACUGGGGUUUGCUCUUGUAUCUACAGUAAUCACGGUAGUUCUGCUCAGCUUGAUUUUUGUCCUCAGAAAGAGAAUAACAUUGACAGUUGAACUUUUCCAAGUCAUAAAUAAAGCCCUCAGCAACUCUCCAUUCCUGCUGUUCCAACCACUGUGGACUUUUGCCAUUCUCGUUUUCUUCUGGGUCCUCUGGGUGGCCGUGCUGCUGAGCCUGGGAACUGCAGGAGCUGCACAGGUUAUGGAAGGUGGCCGAGUGGAAUACAAGCCGAUUUUAGCCAUUCAGUAUAUGUGGUGGUACCAUCUGAUCGGCCUCAUCUGGACUAGCGAAUUCAUUCUUGCAUGCCAGCAAAUAACUGUGGCCGGCGCACUGGUCACUUGCUAUUUCAACAGAAAUAAAAACGACCCUCCUGAUCGCCCAAUCCUUUGGUCUCUCUCCAUUCUUUUCUGCUACCAUCAAGGAACGGCCAUAAAAGGGUCAUUUUUAAUCACUGUGGCCAGGGUUCCAAGAACCAUUCUCAAGUAUGUUCACGACACUCUGAAAGACAAGCAUAGCGCAUGGUCGAGGUGCAUGUUCAGAUGCUGCUUCUGCUGUUUCCGGUGUCUUGACAAAUGCCUGUGCCGUCUCAACCAGAAUGCAUACACCGCAACUGCCAUUAACGGGACAGAUUUUUGUACAUCAGCAAAAGAUGCGCUCAAACUCUUAUCCAAGAAUUCAAGUCAUUUCACAUCUGUAAACUGCUUUGGAGACUUCAUAAUUUUUCUAGGAAAGGUGUUGGUGGUGUGUCUCACUGUUUUUGGAGGACUCAUGGCAUUUAACUACAACCGGGUGCUGCAGGUGUGGGCGAUCCCUCUGCUACUGGUUGCUUUUUUUGCCUACUUCGUAGCCCAUAGUUUCUUAUCUGUGUUUGAAACUGUGCUGGACACUCUCUUCCUGUGUUUUGCUGUUGAUCUGGAAACAAAUGAUGGAUCGUCAGAAAAGCCCUACUUUAUGGACCGGGAGUUUUUGAGUUUUGUAAAAAGGAUCAACAAGUUAAAAGACCCGAGGGCACAGAGGGAGGUGAGCUCAUCAAGGAGCGAGGAGGGAACAGAACUCCAGCCCGUCGUGUGACAGGUGCGCGUUAGGUGCCCCUGGAAAGUGGCCUUCUUCUGAGAGCCAUUCACAGAAUAAACGUUUUAGGUUUCUCACAUGCAGAAUGGAGAAAAUGCCACCUACGUUGGAUUUAGGAGAAGCUUCAACAUAAAGAAUGUAAAAGCAGCGCGUAACGAGGGUCCCCUGGAGAGUUACCUGUGAGCACCUUUCACGACCACAUACACUCUCCAGGUCAUCAAGUUCAGAAGCUCAUCACACAUUCAACAGAACUUACGCGAGCAGCCCUUAAGCCUCAAAGAGCCAGGCACAAGUACAGUAACUCCUACCUCAUUUCUCCAUUUUGCCAACCAGACAUUGCUUUUUUACCAGUUAAGCCUGGCAAACCUGAAUGGCACCUGUGAGAGACAACGCCACAUGUGGCAGGACAUGUUCCGGAAACGGCAAAUAAUACAUUUUGACUUUAGGUCACAAGGAAAAAGCUUAUUCAAGCCUAUCCCCACUCCAGUUGGAGGUGAGCCCCGCCUGCUCUCCCGAGGUUACGGGGGCUCCCUAGGAGGUCUAGCAAGGAAACACUACCAUCGCGCACGGGUUAGAAUGCACAGGUAAUGGGAAGGCUAGCUAACCUCUUCUUAGAACACCAGAUGAUUUUACCUGCCAAGUUUCAGAGGCAUUUGAAAGCAUUUUACUUGGAUUUGGGGCAAGAAGUAAAGCUGCUGUAAGAAAACAUCUCUUUUCUUCUGGUUAGAUAGAAAGGCCAGCUAUUCUGACUGCCAACAAAAGCCAUGAGCCACCCCACACUUGUGUUCCUACAGGAAAGGUCCUCUGAUUCUUCUGCUUUCUCAGCAAAAUGUACUUUCCUGAAGGAAUGUACUUUAAAUAUACCAUACCAAAAAUACCUCCUUGGAACAUAGUUAAUAAGCACAGAUGACCAAAUUAAGAGCCACCGCUUCAGCCAUUUAAAGGGACAGAGGUGCUCUCUGACUAGGCAGUGCGCCUUUCUACUCCAGAGGAUCGUAUAAUGCCAGGUGUCUUCUCUGGCAGCAAAAAAAGGGCUUCUUCAAAGUUUCAUUAAAAUCACCAGCAUCUUCAUGGGAAAAGAACCACAUUCCAUUCCUCCAGCUCUCAUGUCACUGGACAGAGAAAGAACGAGGAGUGUGAACUCAACCAAAUUCAGAGGAACGAGAAUUCUUUUCUCCACUGAGAAUAUGGCUGUAGGGCCAACCAGUAUACCCAGUUCUACUAGCUGGGGACACUUUGCUCUUGGCUCUUUUUCCUUAAAAAGGAAGGGAGGAAAAAAAUCAACACAAUCCUCCCACCCAGAUACUAGCUGUAAACGUUUGUGUGUAUCCUUCUAGGUUUUUUAUCUUCUCAACUUGUGUUAUGUAUGUAUCAAUACACAUGCAUAUAAAUAUAUAUACAAAUAUAAGCACGUGCAGCUUUAAAAUAAAAUUGUGAUCACACUGACCAUCGUACUUUAUAACCUGAUUUGUUUUCCUUAAGCUUUGACCUCUUAUGUAUCAUUUUUACCUUCUAAUGUAUAAGGUACAUUAUGGUUAUAAUGUAACCAACUGACUAGUGUUUGGAAUUUCAGGUUUCCAGUUUCUUACCAGGUACGACUGUGUACUGUACAAAAAUAAACCCGCCUCACAUGAUGCAGUGGCCAAGAGGGCACACUUCUCCAGGGGGAUGGGGGGAAAAUACCUGAAAUAAGUAUUUCCCAUAGUGCUUGGCUGCUGUGUUGUGCAAAUAAACGACUCUGGCAUUGAGGUUUUA